UCGAGCGCCCGUAGCAAUACGGGAGCGGCAGACGGGUGAGUAACACGUGGGAACGUGCCCUUCGGUUCGGAACAACCCAGGGAAACUUGGGCUAAUACCGGAUACGCCCUUACGGGGAAAGAUUUAUCGCCGAAGGAUCGGCCCGCGUCUGAUUAGCUAGUUGGUGGGGUAAUGGCUCACCAAGGCGACGAUCAGUAGCUGGUCUGAGAGGAUGAUCAGCCACACUGGGACUGAGACACGGCCCAGACUCCUACGGGAGGCAGCAGUGGGGAAUCUUGGACAAUGGGCGCAAGCCUGAUCCAGCCAUGCCGCGUGGGUGAUGAAGGCCCUAGGGUUGUAAAGCCCUUUCGGCGGGGAAGAUAAUGACGGUACCCGCAGAAGAAGCCCCGGCUAACUUCGUGCCAGCAGCCGCGGUAAUACGAAGGGGGCUAGCGUUG
rnacentral:rRNA from 1 species